UCCUGUUUCUACUUGAUUCUGAGAAUUCAGGUGCGUUGGGGUUUUUUUGUAAGUCGAUGUGGCAAAAAAAACCCCACUCAAAAUGAGGGUCUACUCAUUUGUAGCUUUCGUGUUGAUGACUUGCAGCAACUGUACUUGCUGCCUUCGGAUUCUGCUUUGGAUAGUGCCAGGCUUGAGCAUCUCAAAUCUCCUUGCUGUGCUGGGUCAGUAGGGGCAACACUCGCUGUGCGGCAUUUGUGACCUUGUCUGCUUUUAUUGCUACAGAGGCUACAGCCUGGAGGAAUUGGAGCAGCACAUUUCUCUGCUCGCUCCAUGAGUACAAUGAUAUUAAAGAUGCUGGACAGAUGCUGCUGGGCAAACUGGCUGUUAUCCGAGGGGUUACUACAAAGCAGCUCUGCCCUGAAUACAUACGAUCUGGAGCUUAGCGACUAGUAUUGAACCUGAAGAUUGCCCCGUCCUGCAAAGCUGACACUUACUGGGCCGUGACGGUUUGGUGUGGUAUUGGUUCAGAACUGACAGAAGGUGGCCUCAGAAGCGUGUGUGUGGAAUUGCAACAGCGCGUGCAUGAACAGCCUUAUUUCCGAGCAGCUUUACAACGUGAAAGCUGUUGAAUCUGUCAGCUGUGUCCUGCUUGUGGGAAAGGGAUGUAGGACUUUGGAUGAUUUUGUCUCCUGUCUGAUGGGACAGUAUUUUUUUUUUUUUUCGUUUGUUGGAAAGGCCGUAAUUCAGGUUGAUGUGAAGACUCUUCCCGUGGAGACCUUGCUUCUCUCCAGCAUCCAGGGGCUGUUUGGUUACUGAAUAACAAGAGGAAGUGAGGGCAUGCAAACGUGCAAUGUAAUAGCUGCUUUGAAAGAAAAGAAAAAACCCUCAGAAGCAGCAUGGGACGAAGGCUGAACUUGUGGUGGCUUGGGGGUUGGUUUUGUUUUACGAUCACAUCUGGGUGAGUCUGGGUAUUCUGCAUUUUUGUACUUAACUGCUCGGGUAUCUAGAGGUUCUGUAUCAUUUCUGUGGUAAAUGGCAAAAGGUGAAGUUGUAUUGAACUGUCCUGUCUGAAUAAAGCAGCUGUCACAUUU